rnacentral:rRNA from 1 species
GAUGAACGCUGGCGGCGUGCCUAAUACAUGCAAGUCGAGCGAACAGACGAGGAGCUUGCUCCUCUGACGUUAGCGGCGGACGGGUGAGUAACACGUGGAUAACCUACCUAUAAGACUGGGAUAACUUCGGGAAACCGGAGCUAAUACCGGAUAAUAUAUUGAACCGCAUGGUUCAAUAGUGAAAGACGGUUUUGCUGUCACUUAUAGAUGGAUCCGCGCCGCAUUAGCUAGUUGGUAAGGUAACGGCUUACCAAGGCAACGAUGCGUAGCCGACCUGAGAGGGUGAUCGGCCACACUGGAACUGAGACACGGUCCAGACUCCUACGGGAGGCAGCAGUAGGGAAUCUUCCGCAAUGGGCGAAAGCUUGACGGAGCAACGCCGCGUGAGUGAUGAAGGUCUUCGGAUCGUAAAACGCUGUUAUUAGGGAAGAACAAAUGUGUAAGUAACUAUGCACGUCUGGACGGUACCUAAUCAGAAAACCACGGCUAACUACGU